rnacentral:tRNA from 1 species
AAUGAAGUGCCUGAGAAAAGGAAUAUCUUGAUAGGGUAUAUGUUUAUAUCACCUUCAUUA